GAUGAACGCUGGCGGCGUGCCUAAUACAUGCAAGUCGAGCGAACGGACGAGAAGCUUGCUUCUCUGAUGUUAGCGGCGGACGGGUGAGUAACACGUGGAUAACCUACCUAUAAGACUGGGAUAACUUCGGGAAACCGGAGCUAAUACCGGAUAAUAUUUUGAACCGCAUGGUUCAAAAGUGAAAGACGGUCUUGCUGUCACUUAUAGAUGGAUCCGCGCUGCAUUAGCUAGUUGGUAAGGUAACGGCUUACCAAGGCAACGAUGCAUAGCCGACCUGAGAGGGUGAUCGGCCACACUGGAACUGAGACACGGUCCAGACUCCUACGGGAGGCAGCAGUAGGGAAUCUUCCGCAAUGGGCGAAAGCCUGACGGAGCAACGCCGCGUGAGUGAUGAAGGUCUUCGGAUCGUAAAACUCUGUUAUUAGGGAAGAACAUAUGUGUAAGUAACUGUGCACAUCUUGACGGUACCUAAUCAGAAAGCCACGGCUAACUACGUGCCAGCAGCCGCGGUAAUACGUAGGUGGCAAGCGUUAUCCGGAAUUAUUGGGCGUAAAGCGCGCGUAGGCGGUUUUUUAAGUCUGAUGUGAAAGCCCACGGCUCAACCGUGGAGGGUCAUUGGAAACUGGAAAACUUGAGUGCGGAAGAGGAAAGUGGAAUUCCAUGUGUAGCGGUGAAAUGCGCAGAGAUAUGGAGGAACACCAGUGGCGAAGGCGACUUUCUGGUCUGUAACUGACGCUGAUGUGCGAAAGCGUGGGGAUCAAACAGGAUUAGAUACCCUGGUAGUCCACGCCGUAAACGAUGAGUGCUAAGUGUUAGGGGGUUUCCGCCCCUUAGUGCUGCAGCUAACGCAUUAAGCACUCCGCCUGGGGAGUACGACCGCAAGGUUGAAACUCAAAGGAAUUGACGGGGACCCGCACAAGCGGUGGAGCAUGUGGUUUAAUUCGAAGCAACGCGAAGAACCUUACCAAAUCUUGACAUCCUUUGACAACUCUAGAGAUAGAGCUUUCCCCUUCGGGGGACAAAGUGACAGGUGGUGCAUGGUUGUCGUCAGCUCGUGUCGUGAGAUGUUGGGUUAAGUCCCGCAACGAGCGCAACCCUUAAGCUUAGUUGCCAUCAUUAAGUUGGGCACUCUAAGUUGACUGCCGGUGACAAACCGGAGGAAGGUGGGGAUGACGUCAAAUCAUCAUGCCCCUUAUGAUUUGGGCUACACACGUGCUACAAUGGACAAUACAAAGGGCAGCGAAACCGUGAGGUCAAGCAAAUCCCAUAAAGUUGUUCUCAGUUCGGAUUGUAGUCUGCAACUCGACUACAUGAAGCUGGAAUCGCUAGUAAUCGUAGAUCAGCAUGCUACGGUGAAUACGUUCCCGGGUCU
rnacentral:rRNA from 1 species